rnacentral:lncRNA from 1 species
GGAAAAGCCACAUGGGUUAAGAAUCCAUCUGACAAAACCUGUGGACUGAAAGCUUCUUGCGGGCUCCAUCUUCCAAUGCUAAUGAAUAGGAAGCACAGUUUUGAACCCUUACCAGAUGCUUGGGGCUGAUGAAUGAAUGAAAGGUGGGGCAAGGGACAAGAGGAGGGAAAGGGAAAUAGAAGAGGAUGAAGGUGUGACAGAGAAAGACCGCUAAAAAAGAGCAAGAGCCACCAAAAAAAUAAAGACAAAUAAAAUGGUCCAUAGAUUCAUUUUGUUUAAAAUAUUGUAUUUUUAUUUUUUACUUUUUGCAUAGGUGACACAUACCCAUGGCACAAAAUUCACAAGGCACCAAAGGAUACUCCAUGGAAAAUUAAUUACUUCCACCCUGCCUGAGCCAACCAG